UCCCCGGUGGCUCAGAUGGUAAAGACUCUGCCUGCAAAGCAGGAGACCCAGGUUCAGUCCCUGGGUCAGGGAA
rfam:TPA: Bos taurus chromosome 4, whole genome shotgun sequence.